AGUUCAAAGUAGAUGUAUUAUCAAAGUAUGUAUAUUCCACCAUAUACUACUGAGAUUCAUUUUCUUGCGGGCAUUCACAAUAGAACAAAGAAAUACAACAGAAUCAACGAAAAACUGCACACAGACUAACAUCCAAUCAAUGUGCAAAAUAGGACAAACCGCAAAUACAAUAAAUAAAUGAAUAUCGAGAACGUGAGUUGUAGAAUCCUUGAAAGUGAGUCUGUAGGUUGUGGAUAUAGAUCAGCGUUGAGGUGAGUGAAGUUAUCCACACUGGUUUAGAAGCCUGAAGGGUGCUAUUUAGAGUUUCAAGAUUCCAUGAUACCGUUAUCAAUAUUCUUAAAUUAAGUGACAGGAACAUAAAUGAAAAGCCUGCAUUUUUAUGACGAAGAAAUCUUGCUGCUAAAACAUGCGUUUAGUGAGGGCCAUGAUCUAAUGAGUCCAUGAAAACGCUGAAUAAAAGCAACAGAAUUACGUUGCACCUCCAAAUCCUCCUCUGUGUUUACUUUCAACUCCUGCAAAAUAAGUUUGAAGAAAAACGUGUCACAUUCGGUGCAAGUGAAGGAUUGUGAAGGACCUGGUAAAAUGCGAUUAACAAAUGCACCAAUCAGUGGAGUUGACGCAGAUCCGACCGUCAAAGGAUCAUAUUUCAAAUCCUUCCUCUUAAAUGAGCCCGUUCAUUUUCUUUAAGAAAAACACCCAUCAAGAGUCAGGAUUUCUAUUUGUCUUAGAGACAGAGCUUUGCAGGUUACGAUACACCUGACGCUGCGUCGCUCGGGCACGGUAUGCUGUGCAAAGUGCUGAGUCCGGAUAGCUUGCGCGAUCAGAGCAGCAAUGACAGUGGGAUAGACUGCUGCUUCCCGGGGAACGACCUGUCUCUUCCAGCCGGAGAAGUGCCGACCAUCCCUGGCGUCUGCACACUGCAGAGUCCCCGUUCUCCCUCUGCGACAGUCUCCCAGUUCUGCAAGCAGGAACGAAAGACCAGGCCAGAAGCAGCGAACAAGAACCAAAGUGAAUCCGAGAAGUAUUUGGGAGUAAGAGUUCGUCUGCCUGUCCGAGAUCUCCUCCGUAAUUACCGCAAAGCCAAAGGACAGGAGCCAAAAGACCUCCAGGAAGAUGUGGCCUGGAAAUUAAAUAAUAAAAGAAAACGUGCUGUAAGGGAUACACUAAGAGGUCACCCAUGUUCUGCUAAAGGGAGGAGACAGACAAAAAAGAUGAAUGUUUGUCCUCCAAAAAAUGUUGAAGAUUUGUUGGAAGAUUUGGUGGAAGUUUUGGAGACAGAUCUGAAGCAAGGGGGACUGCAACCCCAUCAGGGAAUUAAUUGCCCUCAGAGGUAUUACAUGGGCUGUCCUGUCAGCCUCAGAGACCUGCACUCCAGAAACCAUCACCCUGUUCUACAAGCUAACAACCCAGCCUUCCACUACAACGUGGGUUAUGAGAACGUGGGUUAUGCAGCCCGCCUAGAUCUGGUCUCUCCAUCGUACAAACCCUAUUCAGUUUCAGAAUGUGAGUCUUGGUACCGUUCACCAGGCUGGUUGGCAGCCUUUGCCAGAGAGUGCUGUGUGGACAAUUCUGAGAAAGGCAAACUUUUCUGUCUGCAUCAGUGCUAUCCUCACAACACCAGACAUCUGUCACAUCCUCAGUCACCACUGCCAAAGUCAAAAGUGUUAGGGCAGGCUGCAUCGAGUAAUACACAGAGCAGCAGAUCCACUCUGGAACUGGAAGCUUCUCAACAGCAAUAUCUUCCAGAAAGCUCUGCAUUGUCUUUCUUCCAGUUUCAACUGCAACAGAUCGAGAGCAGCCUUGUUGCCCUGUCGCCUGAAGACGUCCUGUCGGCAGACAAGUAUGGCAACACAUUGUUACAUUAUGCUGUCAUUCAGGGGAAGAGAGCUCUAGCUUAUGGGUUAGCUUGUCGGAUGUCUGACUUGAUUAGCAUUGAUGCAAAGGAUUCCAGAGGUCAGACUGCACUACACUUAGCUGCGGAACGAAACCAGCACCUAAUGGUUAAUGAUCUUAUUUCACUGGGAGCCCAGAUCAAUGAAAGAGACUUUUUGGGGAAGACUCCUAUCCAUCUGUGUGCAGAGAAUGGCUUCCUACAAGUCUUACAGGUAAUAGAGAAGGCCAUGAAGAAUGGAACAGAUGUUGACAUUGAUGCCAGGGACAAUAAUUAUCUGACCCCAUUACACUAUGUAAUGUUGGCUCACAUUGCAUCAGUAAAGGAGUUUGAGAACUCGGAGAUGGGCAGUGACAUGCAGAGGUUCAUGGCGUUGAGAAAGGAGCAGCUCCUGGAUGGGUUGCGAUGCCUGCUGAGGAUGGGAUCCUCUAUUUCCUUGCAGGAUAUGAAUGGACAAAGUAUCAUCCAUUUGGCAGAGGAAGAAAAUGACACUGAAGUCCUGAAUUUGCUUUAUGAUCAUGUUGGUAAAAUGAGAACCAUUACUCGCAAGGAAUUUGGCUGUAAUGCAGUACUUGAUUCAGUGUAUCAGAAAACUGAGGUCCUAGCGAUAGCCCCUGAACUGCCUCCUUGUAAAAGCUACAAGCAGCCUAGCAACGUGCCACAAGGGACUCUGCCAGAUCAGUGAGAAGGUUAAGGAACUGAGAAGUAAAGUCAAUGUGGAACGGAACGUGAGCUACGGCUGAUGUCAAAGUCACUGCCUUCUUGAGUGAAUGGUGGAUGGUGGCGUAGUUACUGGCAGACCUCUGGGCCGUUUGUCCAGCUGAUGUGAAUCCUACCUUGGCAAAUGUGGAAUUUUAAAUUCAAUAACUGGUUGCAAUGAAGCAGAAUUUCUAGAAGAAAUGAAGAUAAGUGAGAUGGUGCCAGGAGCAGAGCACUCUGAGCUGACGUGGAGGGUUUCUCCCAGCACAAUACUACUUCUGUUUUGUUGGUCGUUGCUUUGCAACACUCAAGGUAUGUGGCAAAAUUUUAAGGAUUGUGGAAUGUUAGUUACAAUCUAUUGCUGUACAUGCACUUUACCAGGUUGAACUGCAUCGCCUGUAUGAAAAAAAACUCUGUAAAUAAGUUAUGAUAAAUGAACAUAAGUUAUGCAUAACUUGCACGAUCAAAAACAUCAGCGCAAGUUGAGGGAGAGGGAAAAGAAAUAUAGUGGAAGAUAGUAUGGGCAUUCCUCAGGUUCAAAAACUAGACAAGAGUGAAGAAGUAGCUGUUGUGGGUCUUCAAGCCCUUGUACCUCCUGCCUGAUAGCAGCAUUGAGAAGAGAGCAUGGGAUACAGCCCAAUCCAUCACAGGCAAAGCCCACCCUACCAUUCUGCACAUCUACUAAGAGCAUUACCACAAGAAAGUAGCAUCCACAAUCAAGGAUCCCCACCAUACAGGCCAUACUUUCUUCUCUCUACUAUCAUUGGGAAAGUGGUACAGAGAGCCGUAGGUCCCAGAUCAUGAGGUUCCGGAACAUACCCACCUCCUAUAUAAUGUUGUGACAUAGGAUCGGAAGAUGUUGAAUCCUUGUGGGUUGAGUUGAGAAGCUGCAAGGGUAAAAGGACGUUGAUGGCAGUUAUAUACAGGCCUCCCAACAGUGGCUGGCUGGCGGACCACAGGUUACAGCAGGAAAUAGAAAAGGCGAGUCAAAAGAGCAAUGUUACGGUAGUCAUGGGAUACUUUAAACAUGCAGGUCGAUUGGGAAAAUCAGGUUGGUAAUGGCUCUCAGGAGAGUGAGUUUCUUGAAUGCCUAAGAGAUGGCUUUUUAGAGCAGUUUGUUGUUGAGCCUACUGGGGGAUCACCUAUUCUGGAUUGGAUAUUAUGUAAUGGACUGGAGGUGAUUAGGGAACUUAACGUAAAGGAACCCUUAGGGGACAGUGAUCACAAUAUGAUUGAGUUUAACUUGAAAUCUGAUCAGGAGAAAGUAAAGUCUGAUGCAGCAGUAUUUCAGUGGAGUAAGGGAAAUUACAGUGGGAUGAGAGAGGAGUUGGCCAAAGUAAAUUGGAAGGAGAUGCUGGCAGGGAUGACAGCAGAGCAGCAAUGGUGUGAGUUUCUGGGAAAAAUGAGGAAGGUGCAGGGUAGAUGUAUUCCAGAAACAAAGAAAUACUCAAAUGGUAAAAUAGUACAACCAUGGCUGACAAGGGAAGUCAAAGCUAAUGUAAACGCAAAAGCGAGGGCAUUAAAAUAAAGCAAAAAUUAGUGGAAUGACCAGAGGAUAGGAAAGCUUUUAAAAAACUACAGAGAGCAACUAAAAGAGCAUUAGCAGGGAAAAGAUGAAAUAUAAAAGCAAACAAGCUAGCAAACAAUAUCAAAGUGGUAGAGGCAGGUUUGGUAUUGUAAUUUAAAGUAAAAUUGGAUAGGUAUAUAGACAGGAAAGGAAUGGAGGGUUAUGGGCUGAGUGCGGGCCAGUGGGACUAGGUGAGAAUAAGCAUCGGCACAGACUAGAAGGGCCGAGGUGGCCUGUUUCCGUGCUGUAAUUGUUCUAUGGUUAUAUGUUAUAUGAUAGUAAAAGCGUUUUCAACUAUGUAAAAAAUAAAAUAAAGAUGAGAAUGGAUAUAGGACCACUAGAAAAUGAGGCUGGAGAAAUAAUAAUGGGGGCCAAGGAGAUGGCAGAUGAACUAAAUGAGUAUUCUGCAUCAGUCUUCACUGUGGAAGACACUAGCAGUGUGCCAGAUGUUGAAGGGUGUGAGAGAAGAGAAGUGAGUGCAGUUACAUUACAAGUGAAAAGGUGCUAUAAAAGCUGAAAGUCCUAAGGUACAUAAGUCACCCAGACCAGAUGAACUACACCUUAGGGUUAUGAAAGAAGUAGCAUUAUAGAUUGGGGAGGCAUUAGCAAUGAUCUUUCAAAUAACAUUGGAUUCUGCAUGGUGCCAGAGGACUGCAAAUGUCACUCCACUUUUUAAGAAAAGGGGAAGGCAGCAGAAAGGACAUUAUAGACCAGUUUGCCUGACCCCAGUGGGAGAGCAUGUUAGAGUCAAUUGUUAAGGAUGAGGUGAUGGAGUACUUGGUGACACAGGACGAGAUAGGACAAAGUCAGCAUGAUCUCCUUCAUGGAAAAUUCUGCCUGAUGAACCUGUUGGAAUUCUUUGAGAAGGUUAUGUGUAGGAUAGAUAAAGGGGAUGCAGUGGAUGUUGUAUAUUUGGACUUUCAUAAGGCCUUUGACAAGGUGCCACACAUGAGGCUGCUCACCAAGUUAAGAGCCCAUGGUAUUAAAGGAAAGUUAUUAACAUGGUUAGAGCAUUGGCUGAUUGGUAGGAGGCAGCAAGUGGGAAUAAAAGGAUCCUUGUCUGGUUGACUGCCAGUGACUAGUGGUGUUCUGCAGGGGUCAGUGGUAAAUGAUUUAGAUGAUGGAAUAGAUGACUUUGUUGCCAAGUUUGCAGAUGAUACAAAGAUCUGCGGAGGGGCAGGUAGUGUUGAGGAAAAAGGUGGGCUGCAGAAGGACUUGGACAGAUUCAGAGAAUGGGCAAGAGAGUGGCAAAUGAAAUACAAUGUUGGAAAAUGCAUGGUCAUGCACUUUGGUGGAAGAAACUUCACUUUGGUGAAGACUUAUUUUCUAAAUGGGGAGAAAAUCCAAAAAUCUGAGAAUCAAAGGGACUUGGGAGUCUUUGUGUAGAACACCCUAAAGGUUAAAUUGCAGGUUGAGUCAGUGGUGAGAAAGGCAAAUGCAAUGUUAGCAUUCAUUUCAAGAGGUCUGGAAUACAAGAGGAAGGAUGUGAUGCUGAGGCUUUAUAAGGUACUAGUGAGGCCUCACCUUGAAUAUUGUGAAUAGUUUUGGGCUCCUCAUCUAAGAGCUGGCAUUGGAGAGGGUCCAGAAGAGUUUCAUAAGGAUGAUAUUGGGAAUGAAAGGGUUAUCACAUGAUGAAUGUUUGAUGGAUCUGGGCUGUACCCGCUGUAAUUUAGAAGGAUGGGGGGGGGACCUCAUUGAAACCUUUUGAAUGUUGAAAGGCCUAGAUGGAUUAGAUGUGGAGAGGAUAUUUCCCAUGGUGUGAGAAUCUAGGACAAGGGGGCACAGCAUCAAAAUAGAGGGGCAACAAUUUCAUUAAAAAACUCUGUCUUAAAUCUCCCAUUAACAUGUCUCCCUUUAUCUCUGAAACCCUCUUCUAUCCCUAUUUCACCCUAGGAUUGCUGUGCUCUUCCCACUUCACCCUCUUACUCAUUCUAGUCUUUAAUCUUUUCUUGCACCUUCAAAUGUGAAAAAUAAAUGUGCUAGGUUUUCUAAAAUUGACUCCUUCUACCUUAGGCCACAAACAUAUCAAUUACCCCUCAUAAGUACAGACCUGUCAGGGAUAUCGCAUGCCUUUUUAGUGUUGAGCGAAGAAGCGUAGAAGGUGCUUAACUUGUGCUUACUGGUACAUUUUCAUUUUGUGUUAGCUAUUUCAUUAGAGUCAUCAUCAUGACAUUUAGCUUCAGCGGAACAGGUUUAGAGUAUACAGUCUUUAAAAUUGAUUCUUUAACUAACUAAAAUGUCUGUUCAAAUGUGUAACCCUCCAAUGCAGAUAAUCACCCAGGAUCUGUGAAAGGUAGGAUUGUUCAAGAAACAUGCUAUGUUGAAUCGAUAAUAAAAAACUUACUCCUCUACUGCUGCUUAUUUGAUAAAGAUGAAUGCUUUAUUUCUCAAUCUUCCUCAUUGUGGCCAUUGCACCGUCUCUGUCUACCUGCACUGAACUUUCUCUGUAGCUGUAACACUAUAUUCUGUAUUCAGUUUAGUUUUACUUUUGUACUACAUCACCAUAGUUAUAUGUCCGGAUGGUAUGCAAGUAAAAUGACAAUAGGAAAUCAAUCACCAUUAUUGUGAACAAAACUAACAAUAAUAAAUUAAUGAACCAUGAGAAGAAUAACCUUUUCACUGUGUUGUCAUACAUAUGACAAUAGUAACCCAAUACCAAUAUCGCCAACAAAUCCACUUUCAUUCCUGCAGAUACAUCUGACUAUGACCAAUUUGGAGAGUGCUGUGGUCACAAAGGAUCCGUAGGCUGCAGAGACCAUUAUGUGUGAAAAUCCCAGGAGAUCAGCAGUUUCUGAGAUACUCAAACCACCCUGUCUGGCACCAACGAUCAUUCCAUGUUCAAAGUCACUUAGAUCACAUUCCUACCUCAUUCCGAUGUUUAUUCUGAACAACAACUGAACCUCUUGACCAGAUCCACAUGGUUUUAUGCUGCCACGUGAUUGGCUGAUUAGACGUUUGUAUUAAUAAGCAAGUGGACAGGUGUAACUGAUAAAGUAGCCACAGAAUGUAGAUGGAGUGUUUUCUUUUCCACUGCAAGGGGCAUUACAGAAGGAAAACAUUCUUUAUAAGCAUCUCCACACAAUUUCUGACGGCUUGAUUAAAACCUUGCUGGCUCCAGCCAAACAAAUAAAAAGGAGCUUCUUAAACUGGUUGAACAACAUUAUCUCCUUUAUUGCAAAUAGUAUAUAAUUGAGAGGAGGAAUGUUGCAGGUUUGAAGUGAAUUGUUAAACUCUGCGGUAUGCCACAAGCUUAGGGGAGGGGUGAUGUACUGCUCAGUGAGAAGAAACUGAAUUUCAAGAUAGCAAUCAAUAUUGCCCUGACAUGGAGCCAACAGUCAAGUCAACCUAGAUCUGUGACAUCAACCAGCCCAAAGCGCUGAGCUUGAACAGGUUGGUGCCUGUCUUCAGGAAGAGGUGUCAUUUGGAAUCGCAGUUCUUGACCAUCCCUAAUUGGUUUUGAAGUGAGGAGCCGGUUGAGAAUCAACUACCUCAGUACUCCACUUCCUGAGGAGGUGGAGGUGAGUGAAGCUCCACUCCCUCAUUCUAAUCAAUUUUUACAGGAGCACCGUCGAGAGUGUCCUGACCAGCUGCAUCAUGGUCUGGUACGGGAAUUGCAAGGUAUCUGACUGCAAGUCCCUACAAAGGAUUGCGGUGACUGUUGAGAGGAUCACAUUGGACAGUCUCUCUUCCACCCAUUAGAGAUAUUUAUCAGGAGUGCUGUGUAAGCAGGGCCCUAAGCAUUGGCAAUGAUUUCUCCCAUCCGUCCCACAGUCUCUUUGACCCCAGGCAGGCAGGAGGUACCAUAGCAUUAGGACAAGAAUUGUUAGGAUGGAAACAGCUUCUUCCCCUGGGCCAUCAGACUACAGAACCUCCUGCCACCACACAGGUCUCAUCAUGUAUGAAGCAACAGUAGUGUUAUACUGUUUACUUUUUAACUUGUAUCGUGUAUGCAACUUAUUAUUAAUUUAUUGUGGUAAUAUUACUUUAUGUGUUAUGUCUGUGAGUUAUACAUAUUGUUAUGCACCUUGAUCCAGAAGAUUGUUGUUUCAUUCAGCAGUAUACAGGUUAUGAAUGAAUGAUAAUAAACUAAAUUUGAGCUUAUUUGACAGUACACAUGAGAAAAAACAAGUCCAUUCCAGUUAUCACAUGUCUAUUUCUAUGUACUUCCAGUAGGAGUCACUGGACACCUUGACUGCAUUUUGUCAUCUCUUUAGCCCAGAUACAUAGCAGACAUUUAAUUUCCAAUAUUACUCCCAUUGAGGAAAGGUUAGCUUUUCCUCGUCUAUGGACAGGAUUUUGUGUCCACCAUUUCAGUGUUGGUUAAUCACAUGGUCAGCACCUACCAAAAUUGUCCUUUUUCCUCAUUAAGUUUGCACAAUUUCACUGCUGUUCCAUUUUCCCUCAAUGGCUUUAAAACCUGUUAGGAGAUAUUAAAUUCCUCCUCCACUAGCUGGUGGGUAAAUUGUCCUUGUUGGGUCUCAACAUUUCUCUCUGUAACUGGAUCUUGGAUUCUCGACAGAAAGAUCACUGUCUGUCUGUGUUGACAGAAACCUCUCUCGCUCCAUCACGUUGAGCACCAGUGCUCCCCAGGACUGUGUGCUCAGCCCAUGCCGCUAACCUAUGACUGCAUUGCUAGAUCCAGUUCAAACUGAAUCAUCAAGUUUGCUGAUGACACAACAGUGGUUGGCCUCAUGAAUAACUUUGACAUGAGAGUGUACAGAGAGAAGGUAGAGCAGCUGGUAGAUUGAUGUGUGCACAGCAACUUGAGUCUCAACAUGGAUGAGACCAAAGUGGUGAAGGUGCUGGCUGACCUCUACUCACUGCAUGUACACGUGGAGAGAGUUAAGAUUACCAAGUUUCUGGGAGUGCAGUAAUGGACGAUCUCACCCGGUCCCUCAACACAGCUUCUUUGGUCAAGAAAGCACAGCAGCGUCUCCACUUCCUGAGGAGGUGGAGGUGAGUGAAGCUCCACUCCCCCAUUCUAAUCAAUUUUUACAGGAGCACCGUCGAGAGUGUCCUGACCAGCUGCAUCAUGGUCUGGUACGGGAAUUGCAAGGUAUCUGACUGCAAGUCCCUACAAAGGAUUGUGGUGACUGUUGAGAGGAUCACAUUGGGCAGUCUCUCUUCCACCCAUUAGAGAUAUUUAUCAGGAGUGCUGUGUAAGCAGGGCCCUAAGCAUUGGCAAUGAUUUCUCCCAUCCGUCCCACAGUCUCUUUGACCCCAGGCAGGCAGGAGGUACCAUAGCAUUAGGACAAGAAUUGUUAGGAUGGAAACAGCUUCUUCCCCUGGGCCAUCAGACUACAGAACCUCCUGCCACCACACAGGUCUCAUCAUGUAUGAAGCGACAGUAGUGUUAUACUGUUUACUUUUUAACUUGUAUCGUGUAUGCAACUUAUUAUUAAUUUAUUGUGGUAAUAUUACUUUAUGUGUUAUGUCUGUGAGUUAUACAUAUUGUUAUGCACCUUGAUCCAGAGGAUCGUUGUUUCAUUUAGCAGUAUACAUGUUAUGAUUGAAUGACAAUAAACUAAACUUCAAGUUCA